CAAGCCGUGUCUGUGACCUACACCACAGCUCACAGCAACGCCAGAUCCUUAACCCACUGAGCAAGGGCAGGGAUCGAACCCGCAACCUCAUGGUUCCUAGUCGGAUUCGUUAACCAUUGAGCCAUGACAGGAACUCCCCCAGGAACAAUGUUUAUAAAAUUUAACAUUGGGUAUGUGCUCAUGCCCCAAGAUAACUCCAAUGUACAUUUUACCAUAUAGGGGAGUUCUUGUCAUGGCUCAGUGGUUAACGAACCCGACUAGUACCCAUGAGGAUGAGGGUUUGAUCCCUGGCCUCGCUCAGUAGGUUAAGGAUCUGGUGUUGCUGUGAGCUGUGGUGUAGGUUGCAGACGUGGCUCGGAUCCCGAGUGGCUGUGGCUGUGGCUGUGGUGCAGGCCUUUUGCAUCUACAGCUCUGAUUAGACCCCUAGCCUGGGAACAAUCAUAUGCCUUGAGUUCAGCCCUAAAAAAAAAAAAGACAAAAAAAAAUUACUAUAUACCCUUAGUUUACUGUAUUAAUUUUUAAAUUAAAAUAAAAUGGAGAGUUGUCUGUGCCACAGCAGGAACUCCAAAAUAUUUUUUAAAAUUGUUUUUCUUUUAAUUCUUAAAAUCAUGGAGUUCCCUUGUGGCACAGUCAGUUUAGGAUCCAGUGUUGUGACUGCAGUAGCUUGGGUUGCUGUUGUAUAGGUUCAAUCCCUGGCCCUGGGAACUUGCACAUGCUGCAGGUGCAACCAAAAAAAGAUAAAAUUCUUAAAAUCAUUAAGGAGCUUUUUUUUUUUUUUUGCCUUUUUGCCUUUUCUUGAACCACUCCAUGGCAUAUGGAGGUUCCCAGGCUAGGGGUCUAAUUGGAACUGUAGCCACCACAGCUCACGGCAACGCCAGAUCCUUAACCCACUGAGCAAGGCCAGGGAUGGAGCCCACAACCUCGUGGUUCCUAGUUGGAUUCGUUAACCACUGCACUACGACAGGAACUCCUAAAGAGCUCUUGAGAAGGGAAAUACUAGGCCAAAUCUUAAAAGGCAAGAACUGAAAAAAGUAAGCAUAAUGCUUAGAGGCCACACUUUUGGCUUCAGGGUCACGUGCCAAUUUAGUAGACAUGAAACUGACCUGUACUUUUCAUGGGAUGGUUGGGCUAGGGAGGCAAAAGGCAAAGUCUAAGCCUACCAAGCUGGGCAAUAAAUCACACAUUAAACUAGGACCCUUAAAAAAGUCCUUGCCAGGCUUUUAGACCACACUUUUGCCAUUGUGGUGUCAAGAGAAAUUGAGGGCCUGAAUUUGUAUUAUGGUGAUCCUUGACUAGUAAUGUCUUCAUUUACUAUCAGAGAAACAUAAAAGUCCUCUCUGAGAAAACUAGCAUUAUAAUCUACUUAGGGCUUAUAUUAUUUCUAUCCGUGAUUUUUUCAAAUAAAUUUUCAGCACGCAAAGAUAAACAGACACAUAAGAAUACAAGACCCCAUAAGUGAAAACCAGGAGAAAUGACAACAGAACCACAAAAAACUUCAGAUGUUAUAAUUAGAAAACUCAAGAUUACAGAACAAUUAUGACCAAAGGGUCAAAGAAUAGCUAAGCUUGGAAAUUUCAUCAAGGAAGCGGAAGCUAUAAAAAACGACUAAGUUUUCGGGAGUUCCCGUCGUGGCGCAGUGGUUAACGAAUCCGACUAGGAACCAUGAGGUUGCGGGUUCGGUCCCUGCCCUUGCUCAGUGGGUUAACGAUCCGGCGUUGCCGUGAGCUGUGGUGUAGGUUGCGAACGCGGCUCAGAUCCCGCGUUGCUGUGGCUCUGGCGUAGGCUGGUGGCUACAGCUCCGAUUUGACCCCUAGCCUGGGAACCUCCAUAUGCCGCGGGAGUGGCCCAAGAAAUAGCAAAAAGACAAAAACAAAACAAAACAAAAACGACUAAGUUUUCAAAAAUGACCCAAUACCUGAAAAAAAUGAAAAAAUAAAUCAUUCAAUGGAUAGGUUUAACAGCAGACUAGAUAGAGCUGAAGGGAGAUUGGUGAACUAUAAAAUUUAUCAGAAAAAAAGUGUCAAGAAGGUAGCUUGGCAAGACAAGGUGGAAAAUGUAAAGCAAGUUAAGAGAGAGGAAAUGUGAAGUGUCUUAUUCAUUUAUUUGAAGGUCCAGAAGUUGAUGAAUGAAAGACUGUAUUGAGAAUAGCUAAAAAUUUCCUGGAACUGAUAAACCAUGUCAGAAUAAAUAAAGAUAAAUCCACACCCAGGUACACCAUAAUAAGCUGCAGAUGACCACUGGCAAAAUAGAACAAAAUCUGAAGCAGCUGACUACUAUCUUCAAAGGAGUGACAGAGCAAUCAAGGUGAAAGGCA
rnacentral:lncRNA from 1 species